CGUUAAAAUACCGGUUCCCGUACGAUCAUCAUAGUUAAGCUACGUCGAGCCUGGUCAGUAUCUAGAUGGUUGUUCGCUUGCGAAUAUCAAGUGCUGUAAG